rnacentral:lncRNA from 1 species
CAAUACCGUCAGCGCGGGAUCGCCGCAUUUAGGUGGCGAGGGGGCGCUGGCUGGGGCUGGAUCUUCCAGCAGUGCGAACGUGCAAGGUAACAAUCAGCCUGAUGUGGAAAUGGCAGGGACCCGGUACCCAGUUAGAGAGCGUAAACACCCUGGCGAAUGGUGGCGAAAUGAACCUGGUCGCACUGUCACUGGUCGUGUUAACACUGCUUACUCUGCUGGUAUUCCUGAGCUUAAUUCGUUUGCGGAAGCCAUUGCAAG